AUGACAAGUGUCCUCACAUUAGUUUACAGACUUUAUACUGUGACAAGUGUCCUCACAGUAGUUUACAGACUUUAUACUGUGACAAGUGUCCUCACAUUAGCUUACAGACUUUAUACUGUGACAAGUGUCCUCACAGUAGUUUACAGACUUUAUACUGUGACAAGUGUCCUCACAUUAGCUUACAGACUUUAUACUGUGACAAGUGUCCUCACAUUAGUUUACAGACUUUAUACUGUGACAAGUUUCCUCACAUUAGUUUACAGAAUUUAUACUGUGACAAGUGUCCUCACAGUAGUUUACAGACUUUAUACUGUGACAAGUGUCCUCACAUUAGCUUACAGACUUUAUACUGUGACAAGUGUCCUCACAGUAGUUUACAGACUUUAUACUGUGACAAGUGUCCUCACAGUAGUUUACAGACUUUAUACUGUGACAAGUGUCCUCACAGUAGUUUACAGACUUUAUACUGUGACAAGUGUCCUCACAGUAGUUUACAGACUUUAUACUGUGACAAGUGUCCUCACAUUAGCUUACAGACUUUAUACUGUGACAAGUGUCCUCACAGUAGCUUACAGACUUUAUACUGUGACAAGUGUCCUCACAGUAGUUUACAGACUUUAUACUGUGACAAGUGUCCUCACAGUAGUUUACAGACUUUAUACUGUGACAAGUGUCCUCACAGUAGUUUACAGACUUUAUACUGUGACAAGUGUCCUCACAGUAGUUUACAGACUUUAUACUGUGACAAGUGUCCUCACAGUAGUUUACAGACUUUAUACUGUGACAAGUGUCCUCACAGUAGUUUACAGACUUUAUACUGUGACAAGUGUCCUCACAGUAGUUUACAGACUUUAUACUGUGACAAGUGUCCUCACAGUAGUUUACAGACUUUAUACUGUGACAAGUGUCCUCACAUUAGCUGUCACGGUUGUCGUAAGAACGGGACCAAGGUGCAGCAUAAUUAAAGUUCCACAUCUUUAUUUUAGUGAAACUUCAGCAAAACAAAACAAUAUACGAACAACGAAACGUGACAACGUGAUGCACAAACACAAAAUAAUAUCCCACAAACACAGGUGGGAAAAAUAG
rnacentral:lncRNA from 8 species